rnacentral:rRNA from 1 species
AUUGAACGCUGGCGGCAGGCCUAACACAUGCAAGUCGAACGAGUGGCGGACGGGUGAGUAAUGUAUGGGAAAGUGCCUGAUGGAGGGGGAUAACUACUGGAAAGGGUAGCUAAUACCGCAUACCAUUAGAGGGGCCGAUAUGUGAUUAGCUUGUUGGUGGGGUAACGGCCUACCAAGGCGACGAUCCGUAACUGGUCUGAGAGGACGACCAGCAACACUGGAACUGAGACACGGCCCAGACUCCUACGGGAGGCAGCAGUGGGGAAUUUUGGACAAUGGGGGAAAGCCUGAUCCAGCCAUGCCGCGUGUGUGAAGAAGGUCUUCGGAUUGUAAAGUACUUUUGGUUGGGAGGCGUUAUCUACAGAAUAAGCACCGGCUAACUUCGUGCCAGCAGCCGCGGUAAUUC